AUACGUAGGGGGCGAGCGUUGUCCGGAAUGAUUGGGCGUAAAGGGCGCGUAGGCGGCCCGGUAAGUCUGGAGUGAAAGUCCUGCUUUCAAGGUGGGAAUUGCUUUGGAUACUGCCGCGCUUGAGUGCAGGAGAGGUUAUCGGAAUUCCCGGUGUAGCGGUGAAAUGCGUAGAGAUCGGGAGGAACACCAGUGGCGAAGGCGGGUAACUGGACUGCAACUGACGCUGAGGCGCGAAAGUGUGGGGAGCAAACAGGAUUAGAUACCCUGGUAGUCCACACUGUAAACGAUGAAUACUAGGUGUGCGGGGACUGACCCCCUGCGUGCCGGCGUUAACACAAUAAGCAUUCCGCCUGGGGAGUACGGCCGCAAGGUUGAAACUCAAAGGAAUUGACGGGG
rnacentral:rRNA from 1 species